AAUGGGUCAGCGACUUAUAUUCUGUAGCAAGGUUAACCGAAUAGGGGAGCCGAAGGGAAACCGAGUCUUAACUGGGCGUUAAGUUGCAGGGUAUAGACCCGAAACCCGGUGAUCUAGCCAUGGGCAGGUUGAAGGUUGGGUAACACUAACUGGAGGACCGAACCGACUAAUGUUGAAAAAUUAGCGGAUGACUUGUGGCUGGGGGUGAAAGGCCAAUCAAACCGGGAGAUAGCUGGUUCUCCCCGAAAGCUAUUUAGGUAGCGCCUCGUGAAUUCAUCUCCGGGGGUAGAGCACUGUUUCGGCAAGGGGGUCAUCCCGACUUACCAACCCGAUGCAAACUGCGAAUACCGGAGAAUGUUAUCACGGGAGACACACGGCGGGUGCUAACGUCCGUCGUGAAGAGGGAAACAACCCAGACCGCCAGCUAAGGUCCCAAAGUCAUGGUUAAGUGGGAAACGAUGUGGGAAGGCCCAGACAGCCAGGAUGUUGGCUUAGAAGCAGCCAUCAUUUAAAGAAAGCGUAAUAGCUCACUGGUCGAGUCGGCCUGCGCGGAAGAUGUAACGGGGCUAAACCAUGCACCGAAGCUGCGGCAGCGACGCUUAUGCGUUGUUGGGUAGGGGAGCGUUCUGUAAGCCUGCGAAGGUGUACUGUGAGGUAUGCUGGAGGUAUCAGAAGUGCGAAUGCUGACAUAAGUAACGAUAAAGCGGGUGAAAAGCCCGCUCGCC
rnacentral:rRNA from 1 species